ACGCUGUCUUCAGAGUUUGAUCCUGGCUCAGGAUGAACGCUAGCUAUAGGCUUAACACAUGCAAGUCGAGGGGCAGCAUGCGGUUUGCUUGCAAACCGUGAUGGCGACCGGCGCACGGGUGAGUAACGCGUAUCCAACCUUCCCCUUACUGUGGAAUAACCUGCCGAAAGGCAGACUAAUACCGCACGCACUCAACAGAUGGCAUCAGGCGUUGAGUAAAGAUUUAUCGGUAAGGGAUGGGGAUGCGUCUGAUUAGCUUGUUGGCGGGGUAACGGCCCACCAAGGCGACGAUCAGUAGGGGUUCUGAGAGGAAGGUCCCCCACAUUGGAACUGAGACACGGUCCAA
rnacentral:rRNA from 1 species